rnacentral:rRNA from 1 species
CCCUGGCAGUCAGAGGCGAUGAAGGACGUGCUAAUCUGCGAUAAGCGUCGGUAAGGUGAUAUGAACCGUUAUAACCGGCGAUUUCCGAAUGGGGAAACCCAGUGUGAUUCGUCACACUAUCAUUAACUGAAUCCAUAGGUUAAUGAGGCGAACCGGGGGAACUGAAACAUCUAAGUACCCCGAGGAAAAGAAAUCAACCGAGAUUCCCCCAGUAGCGGCGAGCGAACGGGGA